rnacentral:tRNA from 1 species
AACUCAAUUGGUAGAGUAGUGUAUUGUUAAUACAUCUGUUGUGGGUUCAAAUCCCGCC